rnacentral:rRNA from 1 species
UACGAAGGGGGCUAGCGUUGUUCGGAAUUACUGGGCGUAAAGGGCGCGUAGGCGGCGUGUCAAGUCAGGGGUGAAAUCCCGGAGCUCAACUCCGGAACUGCCUUUGAUACUAUUGGUCUUGAAUGUUGUUGAGGUGGGCGGAACGGGUCAUGUAGCGGUGAAAUGCAUAGAUAUGACCCGGAACACCGAUUGCGAAGGCAGCCCGCUAAGCAACUAUUGACGCUGAGGCACGAAAGCGUGGGGAUCAAACAGG